GUGCCAGCCGCCGCGGUAAGACGUAGGGGGCCAGCGUUGUUCGGAAUUACUGGGUGUAAAGGGUUCGUAGGCGGUGCGGCAAGUUGGGAGUGAAAUCUCUGGGCUUAACCCAGAGGCUGCUUCCAAAACUGCUGUGCUUGAGUGUGGGAGAGGCGCGUGGAAUUGCAGGUGUAGCGGUGAAAUGCGUAGAUAUCUGCAGGAACACCCGUGGCGAAAGCGGCGCGCUGGACCACUACUGACGCUGAGGAACGAAAGCUAGGGGAGCAAACAGGAUUAGAUACCCCGGUAGUCC
rnacentral:rRNA from 1 species